rnacentral:rRNA from 1 species
CCCUUAGAUGUUCUGGGCCGCACGCGCGCUACACUGUUCGACGCAGCGAGUCUUAACCUUGACCGAAAGGUUUGGGUAAUCUUCAGCAAAGUCGAACGUGAUGGGGAUCGAUCAUUGCAAUUAUUGAUCGUGAACGAGGAAUUCCUAGUAAGUGCAAGUCAUCAGCUUGCGCUGAUUACGUCCCUGCCCUUUGUACACACCGCCCGUCGCUACUACCGAUUGAAUGGUUUAGUGAGAUCUCUGGAUUGACGCUGGCUAGGGGGCGACCCUUGGCCAGACUGUUGAGAAACUGCUCAAACUUGAUCAUUUAGAGGAAGUAAAAGUCGUAAC